ACCCUUUUGAGAGACGUACGGUAGCACAAAAACUACCCAAUUUCUUGCACUAACCCUAUACCCCCAAAUGUGUAUGCAGAGACUGCAUACCAGAAACCUUAAGGCGAACUCACUUCUUCGGCACACAUCAUACCAUCGUUUGUUCCAAACAAAUUAGAUUAAACACCUUUUGCAGUUGUCGAUUGCAAAUCAGGACCAAGGCUGUGAAAUUGGAAGUGUUAAUCCAAAUACAAUGCUAAGAUUCAACAUAUCCCUCAAUCUAUUGUUCACAUUUCUUUAUUAUUCUAUGAAAAUAUAAAUAUUUACAUAUAAUCACUUACCUGUUGAAUAUGCAGGAAUAAUCAUGAUAGCCAAAAGACGUUAUUUAGAUGAAGACUGGGUGUAUUUGAAAUGAUCAGGAAUUGGUUGGUGACUUGGUGUGUUAAUACAUGAGAGUGUAAAUGAUCAUUCAUGUUGAUAAAGUAGAAAAAGUCAAUUGCCCAGUUGUAGUAAUACAUAUGGUAGUUUGCAGAGAUGGAGAAGAAGUAUCGAUUGAUAGCUCUGAAAAUGUCAAUAAAGAAUAAUUUAGGAGAUCGAUUGCAUUCCUAUUAUGUUGGAGUUAUUUUUGGAGAUGAAGAUGUUGAUGUUUAACUGCAAGAAAUGGGUGGGAAAAGCAGGCAGAACAUAGGUGUGGAAGUGACAUGUGGCAAGAAGGUGGAGUAAAACGGUGACAUGUGGCGUUUAAAGGAGGUUUUUAUUAAGCAUGGAGAUGGAGAUGACAUGAAGCUUGAAAGCCAAGUCAUCCCUAGUUACAUCCAUAUCAGAUAUGAAGCUAAUAUUUGGUGCUGCCAUUUAUCUGCAAUAAAAGGAGAAAAAAUAAAAAUUAAUUAAAUAAGAGACAAGAUAAGCACAUAUGUAUUCUAUGACAGGGACAAUAACGUAACCAAAGAGCUAAUUUUUAGGAUAUGAUAUACAUUCCUGAAGUAGGAAAUGGGCGGGAAAAGAAGUGAGAAUAGAGGCAGAAGAAUGACACGUGGAUUGUUGGGGGGUUUAAGGAGGGGACAAGUGGCAUUUAGGAGAGACAAUUAUUAGGAAUGGAGAUACCAACCUUGAGUUUGUGAAAUGAAAAUACUGGAGCUAAAAGUACUUCCUAUAAUGCAUUGUUUACAACUUAAUAAUAGGGAAGACUCAUAUACACGUGAUUUUUCUGGACAUACAAACUUUAUUUGUUUUCGUAUAAA